AUAACAAUACAGGACUCUUUUGAGGCCCUGUAAUUGGAAUGAGUACACUUUAAAUCCUUUAACGAGGAUCUAUUGGAGUCUGGUGCAGACCGA